AAUAUUCAGACUUGUUUUUUCUUUUUUGAAUAGCUCCUUUUUUUUCAGCCGUUCUAUGCUCAUGGUGUGGGCUGGGCCAUUUCCACUCGUUUAUCUCUCUCCUUCUGCCACUCAAAAAAAAAUCUCUCUCCUUCUUAUCCAUUCCGAUCUAGAUCCCGCUGCCCCAAUCCUCUCCCCUUCCCCCUCCAUGGCAAGCCGGCUCCCCCUUUCCCAGCGAGCUGCGCCGCCAAAACCCUCUCCUGCCCCCAUCGCGGUGCUCCCCAAAGGGCUACCUUCAUCUUAUGCUGCACAAAUACCAGCGAGAUCUGGGUGGACGGGACACGGGUGAUAUCGUCAUCAACCGCCGCCCCCUGGUGCCUUGUGCGGGGUGAGGGGUGCCGCGCCGACAAGCCACGAUCCUCUCUCCUCUUUGCCGUGGUGUAAGUGGUGCGGGGAGGCCCGUGCGCCGUCGAGGGAGGUCUUGGCCGUAAGGGAGUCUGACAUCGACUUUACUGCAAGCAAUGGGCCUUGGAGAUUCCGUCAUGCAUUGUUUAACAAGCUCAGACCUUGCGUUAAUGACAACUGAGAAGGAAGUGUCAGACUUAUCAAGAGGAAACAAUUUAUUCUUUCUUGGCCUUUAGUUUGCAAAUGCACUAUUGUUGAGAUACAGAAUGCACGUCAACUGCACAACAAAUUAUCAUGGCUUUCAAUUUUCCAAUAUUUCCACAUAAUUUUUUUGUAUAAUUUAGUUUGCUUUCCCUUUUCAAAUCUUGCACGUAAUUUUGUUGUCUAACAGAUGGGCUGUGAGUUUGGACUUCACGGUGGUCGCUGCUCAUUCUGCCACGGCGCUGCGUGCCCUCACUACCGACUGCACCCAGUCCGCCUCCGCUGUGUCCUGCGCUGCAUGGGCAUCCCAUUACCCGUAGGACCAUGGCCCGUGGCACCGACGUCGUCGACUACAGCAAUGCCGACGCUGCCCGGUAUGUGUACUGGGUUGAGGCUCUGUGAUACGAGCAGAUCAUCCAAGAGGGUUCGCACUUGCGCAUCAGUGUUCACAAGUAUUCCCUCCUAAAGAAAUAUAAGAGCGUUUAGAUUGCUAAAGUAGUGAUCUAAAUGCUCUUGUAUUUCUUUAGUGAGAGUACUACUAGUAUGAUUUAGGUUGUUGUUGCUGCUCCUUCGAGUUGUGAUAUUUCUGGUGUGAUCUCCAUCCAGGACCAGGAAUGUACAUUUGAUUUUCUGAUUUGAGAUGGAUCGUGGAAUUUAGCGAUGUGAACUUGUAUUAGCAGCACUUAUUUUCUAACUACAUGCUACUUUUGUCUGA